CAACACGCUAUACACAUGACAUAGAUUGCAAUGUUCACAAGCCAAGUUGGUUCCUUCUUUAAAAGUCAACUAAUAAGAAAAAAAACACAAACAAACCUCUAUUGUUUGUUUAAAUUCCAACAAUAUUUUAAGAUUAUAUGAAUACUAUACCACUAAUUUAUCGCAAAUUGACAAGUUAUAUUCUAUAAAUAAGGGGAACAGACAAAAGACUAUCCUACAGAAAAUACAUCGUGUCUACGCUCCUAUUAAUAUUUCGAUAAUUGUGAUGAGUGGAAUUCUUGGUGUAUAAUAAGAUGCCUCAUCUACAAUUUCAGUCUAU